GUUUAAUAGUUUCUUACACAGUAGAAGAGCAACUAAAGAAAAAAAAAGAGACAAAGAAAAAUCUUUCCCCCUCCCUCCAAUCUCCAAAAGUAUACCACCCCCAAGUUUUCAAAAAUUGAAUUGGAAAGCCAAUGACAGUAGAGUUUGUGCCCACUGCCUCUCGUCCGAUCACCGAGAACCACUGAAAAGCACCUUGCUCUCUAUGCUUUGCACCAUCCCUGCAGUGAUGCAGAUUGACACCUAAGACCUGCUUCAAAAUAACCUGAGAGCUGCACAAUACAACCAUCUUGCUGCUGUGAUAAAUCCUCCAUACAGCACUGUUCAUUUAAUCUGAAAUAGAAUGCAUCACAAACUACAUUUUCAAUAGGUAAGAACAUGCAUUUGCUGUGGUGUAUUCUGAAGGCCUAAUCCAGACUCAGUUCAUCUGGGAAGUGAAGGAAAAGGAGAUGGAGGGGUAGCAGGAACUGCAACACAGCUGUGAUAUUUGCUCCAAAG
ensembl:lncRNA